UAGAGGCCUACCAUGGUUUCAACGGGUAACGGGGAAUAAGGGUUCGAUUCCGGAGAGGGAGCCUGAGAAACGGCUACCACAUCCAAGGAAGGCAGCAGGCGCGCAAAUUACCCAAUCCCGACACGGGGAGGUAGUGACAAUAAAUAACAAUACGGGGUUCUUUCGGAUCUCGUAAUUGGAAUGAGUACAAUUUAAAUCUCUUAACGAGGAACAAUUGGAGGGCAAGUCUGGUGCCAGCAGCCGCGGUAAUUCCAGCUCCAAUAGCGUAUAUUAAAGUUGUUGCAGUUAAAAAGCUCGUAGUUGAAUUUCGGGGUUAGUAGGUUGGUCAUGCCUCUGGUAUGUACUGGUCUCACUGAUUCCUCCUUCCUGAUGAACCGUAAUGCCAUUAAUUUGGUGUUGCGGGGAAUUUGGACUGUUACUUUGAAAAAAUUAGAGUGUUUAAAGCAAGCUAACGCUUGAAUACAUUAGCAUGGAAUAAUGAAAUAGGACGUUCGAUCCUAUUUUGUUGGUUUCUAGGAUUGACGUAAUGAUUAAUAGGGAUAGUUGGGGGCAUUAGUAUUCAAUUGUCAGAGGUGAAAUUCUUGGAUUUAUUGAAGACUAACUACUGCGAAAGCAUUUGCCAAGGAUGUUUUCAUUAAUCAAGAACGAAAGUUAGGGGAUCGAAGACGAUCAGAUACCGUCGUAGUCUUAACCAUAAACUAUGCCGACUAGGGAUCGGAU
rnacentral:rRNA from 1 species